GAUGAACGCUGGCGGCGUGCCUAAUACAUGCAAGUCGAGCGAAGCGGGGACGGGUGAGUAACACGUGGAUAACCUCCUAUAAGACUGGGAUAAACUCGGGAAACCGGAGCCAAACCGGCUACUUUGAGAUGGAUCGGCGCUGCAUUAGCUAGUUGGAGAGGUAACGGCUUACCAAGGCAACGAUGCAUAGCUGACCUGAGAGGGUGAUCAGCCACACUGGAACUGAGACACGGUCCAGACUCCUACGGGAGGCAGCAGUAGGGAAUCUUCCGCAAUGGGCGAAAGCCUGACGGAGCAACGCCGCGUGUGUGAAGAAGGUCUUCGGGUCGUAAAACUCUUUUAUUAGGGAAGCGGUACCUAAACAGAAAGCCACGGCUAACUACGUGCCAGCAGCCGCGGUAAUAC
rnacentral:rRNA from 1 species